rnacentral:rRNA from 1 species
AGACAGCAGUCGCCACGGUAAUACGAAGGGGGCUAGCGUUGUUCGGAUUUACUGGGCGUAAAGCGCACGUAGGCGGACAUUUAAGUCAGGGGUGAAAUCCCAGAGCUCAACUCUGGAACUGCCUUUGACACUGGGUGUCUGGAGUAUGGAAGAGGUAAGUGGAAUUCCGAGUGUAGAGGUGAAAUUCGUAGAUAUUCGGAGGAACACCAGUGGCGAAGGCGGCUUACUGGUCCAUUACUGACGUUGAGGUGCGAAAGCGUGGGGAGCAAACAGGAUUAGAUACCCCGGUAGUCCCUGUCUCUUAUAC